GACAGAGGUGGCAAGCGUUGUUCGGUGUUACUGGGCUUAAAGCGUGUGUAGGCGGGGAAGUAAGCAUUUUGUGAAAUCCCUCAGCUCAACUGAGGAAUUGCUGGAUGUACUGCUUCUCUUGAGGCAAGUAGGGGUGCGCGGAACUCUUGGUGGAGCGGUGGAAUGCGUAGAUAUCAAGAGGAACGCCGGCGGUGAAGACGGUGCACUGGGCUUGUCCUGACGCUGAGACACGAAAGCGUGGGGAGCAAACAGG
rnacentral:rRNA from 1 species